rnacentral:rRNA from 1 species
UACGAAGGGGGCGAGCGUUGUUCGGAUUUACUGGGCGUAAAGGGCGCGUAGGCGGCGGGUCAAGUCGAGUGUGAAAGCCCCGGGCUCAACCUGGGAGGUGCGCUCGAGACUGGUCUGCUAGAGUUCGGGAGAGGAGCGUGGAAUUCCCAGUGUAGAGGUGAAAUUCGUAGAUAUUGGGAAGAACACCGGUGGCGAAGGCGGCGCUCUGGACCGAGACUGACGCUGAGGCACGAAAGCGUGGGGAGCAAACAGG